rnacentral:ncRNA from 2 species
GUUCAUCUUCAGGGCAGGGUGCAAUUCCCGACCGGUGGUUAAAGUCCGCGACCUACCGUUAUGGUAGUUGAUUCGGUGAAAUUCCGAAACCGACAGUUAAAGUCUGGUAUAUAGAAGAUUGGG